CAGUCGCCGCGGUAAUACGAAGGGUGCAAGCGUUAAUCGGAAUUACUGGGCGUAAAGCGUGCGUAGGCGGUGAGUUAAGUCUGCUGUGAAAUCCCCGGGCUCAACCUGGGAAUGGCAGUGGAUACUGGCUCGCUAGAGUGUGUCAGAGGAUGGUGGAAUUCCCGGUGUAGCGGUGAGAUGCGUAGAGAUCGGGAGGAACAUCAGUGGCGAAGGCGGCCAUCUGGGACAACACUGACGCUGAGGCACGAAAGCGUGGGGAGCAAACAGGAUUAGAUACCCGGGUAGUCCCUGUCUCUUAUAC
rnacentral:rRNA from 1 species